rnacentral:lncRNA from 1 species
UCCGCUGGGGGGUUUUGGCACCACGACCUUCGGGCGCUUAUUUUUGGGCACUACUGUGCCCGCGACUUCCCGCUUGCACCCCGAGGCCCCUCGCAAAGUCUCGCCCCAUUCCGAGUCCGGCGGACGAACUUCGCCCGCGCCCCCCACCAAGGCUAUAGCCCACCCGUUUUUUGGGCAUUUUUCCGCUGGGGGGUUUUGGCACCACGAUCUUCGGGCACUUAUUUUUCGGCACGGCUUUGCCCACGGCUUAUUUUUGGUGCCCCGAGGCCCCUCGCAAAGUCUCGCCCCAUUCCGAGUCCGGCGGACGAACUUCGCCCGCGCCCCCCACCAAGGCUAUAGCCCACCCGUUUUUUGGCCAUUUUUCCGCUGGGGGGUUUUGGCACCACGACCUUCGGGCGCUUAUUUUUGGGCGCGGCUGUGCCCGCGACUUCCCGCGGGUACCCCGAGGCCCCUCGCAAAGUCUCGCCCCAUUCCGAGUCCGGCGGACGAACUUCGCCCGCGCCCCCCACCAAGGCUAUAGCCCACCCGUUUUUUGGCCAUUUUUCCGCUGGGGGGUUUUGGCACCACGACCUUCGGGCGCUUAUUUUGGGCGCGGCUUUGCCCGCGGCUUAUUUUGACGCCCCGAGGCCCCUCGCAAAGUCUCGCCCCAUUCCGAUUCCGGGCGGACGAACUUCGCCAGCGCCCCCAACCAAGGCUAUAGCCCACCCAUUUUAUGGCCAUUUUUCCGCUGGGGUGUAUUGGCACCACGACCUUCGGGCGCUUAUUUUUGGGCACGGCUGUGCCCGCGACUUCCCGCGGGCACCCCGAGGCCCCUCGCAAAGUCUCGCCCAAUUCCGAGUCCGGCGGACGAACUUCGCCCGCGCCCCCCACCAAGGCUAUAGCCCACCCGUUUUUUGGCCAUUUUUCCGCUGGGGGGUUUUGGCACCACGACCUUCGGGCACUUAUUUUUGGGCGCGGCUUUGCCCGCGGCUUAUUUUUGGCGCCCCAAGGCCCCUCGCAAAGUCUCGCCCCAUUCCGAGUCCGGCGGACGAACUUCGCCCGCGCCCCCCACCAAGGCUGUAGCCCACCCGUUUUUUGGCCAUUUUUCCGCUGGGGGGUUUUGGCACCACGACCUUCGGGCGCUUAUUUUUGGGCGCGGCUUUGACCGUGGCUUUUUUUUGGCGCCCCGAGGCCCCUCGUAAAGUCUCGCCCCAUUCCGAGUCCGGCGGACGAACUUCGCCCGCGCCCCCCACCAAGGCUAUAGCCCACCCGUUUUUUGGCCAUUUUUCCGCUGGGGGUUUUGGCACCACGACCUUCGGGCACUUAUUUUUGGGCGCGGCUUUGCCCGCGGCUUAUUUUUGGCGCCCCGAGGCCCCUCGCAAAGUCUCGCCNNNNNNNNNNNNNNNNNNNNNNNNNNNNNNNNNNNNNNNNNNNNNNNNNNNNNNNNNNNNNNNNNNNNNNNNNNNNNNNNNNNNNNNNNNNNNNNNNNNNUUUUUCCGCUGGGGGGUUUUGGCACCACGACCUUCGGGCGAUUAUUUUUGGGCGCGGCUUUGCCCGCGGGUUAUUUUUGGCGCCCCGAGGCCCCUCGCAAAGUCUCGCCCCAUUCCGAGUCCGGCGGACGAACUUCGCCCGCGCCCCCCACCAAGGCUAUAGCCCACCCGUUUUUUGGCCAUUUUUCCGCUGGGGGGUUUUGGCACCACGACCUUCGGGCGCUUAUUUUUGGGCGCGGCUGUGCCCGCGACUUCCCGCGGGCACCCCGAGGCCCCUCGCAAAGUCUCGCCCAAUUCCAAGUCCGGCGGACGAACUUCGCCCGUGCCCCCCACCAGGGCUAUAGCCCACCCAUUUUAUGGCCAUUUUUCCGCUGGGGGGUUUUGGCACCACGACCUUCGGGCGCUUAUUUUUGGGCACUACUGUGCCCGCGACUUCCCGCUUGCACCCCGAGGCCCCUCGCAAAGUCUCGCCCAAUUCCGAGUCCGGCGGACGAACUUCGCCCGCGCCCCCCACCAAGGCUAUAGCCCACCCGUUUUUUGGGCAUUUUUCCGCUGGGGGGUUUUGGCACCACGAUCUUCGGGCACUUAUUUUUCGGCACGGCUUUGCCCACGGCUUAUUUUUGGUGCCCCGAGGCCCCUCGCAAAGUCUCGCCCCAUUCCGAGUCCGGCGGACGAACUUCGCCCGCGCCCCCCACCAAGGCUAUAGCCCACCCAUUUUUUGGCCAUUUUUCCGCUGGGGGGUUUUGGCACCACGACCUUCGGGCGCUUAUUUUUGGGCGCGGCUGUGCCCGCGACUUCCCGCGGGCACCCCGAGGCCCCUCGCAAAGUCUCGCCCAAUUCCAAGUCCGGCGGACGAACUUCGCCCGCCCCCCCCACCAAGGCUAUAGCCCACCCGUUCUUUGGUCAUUUUUCCGCUGGGGGGUUUUGGCACCACGACCUUGGGGCGCUUAUUUUUGGGCGCGGCUGUGCCCGCGACUUCCCGCGGGCACCCCGAGGCCCCUCGCAAAGUCUCGCCCCAUUCCGAGUCCGGCGGACGAACUUCACCCGCGCCCCCCACCAAGGCUAUAGCCCACCCGUUUUUUGACCAUUUUUCCGCUGGGGGGUUUUGGGACCACGACCUUCGUUCGCUUAUUUUUGGGCGCGGCUGUUCCCGCGACUUCCCGUGGGCACCCCGAGGCCCCUCGCAAAGUCUCGCCCCAUUCCGAGUCUGGCGGACGAACUUCGCCCGCGCCCCCCACCAAGGCUAUAGCCUACCCGUUUUUUGGCCAUUUUUCCGCUGGGGGGUUUUGGCACCACGACCUUCGGGCGCUUAUUUUUGGGCGCGGCUUUGCCCGUGGCUUAUUUUUGGCGCCCCGAGGCCCCUCGCAAAGUCUCGCCCCAUUCCGUGUCCGGCGGACGAACUUCGCCCGC